CCUACGGGGGGCAGCAGUGGGGAAUAUUGGACAAUGGGCGAAAGCCUGAUCCAGCCAUGCCGCGUGUGUGAAGAAGGCCUUCGGGUUGUAAAGCACUUUCAGUGGGGAAGAAAGCCUUGGGGCUAAUACCCUCGAGGAAGGACAUCACCCACAGAAGAAGCACCGGCUAACUCCGUGCCAGCAGCCGCGGUAAUACGGAGGGUGCGAGCGUUAAUCGGAAUUACUGGGCGUAAAGCGCGCGUAGGCGGUCUGAUAAGCCGGUUGUGAAAGCCCCGGGCUCAACCUGGGAACGGCAUCCGGAACUGUCAGGCUAGAGUGCAGGAGAGGAAGGUAGAAUUCCCGGUGUAGCGGUGAAAUGCGUAGAGAUCGGGAGGAAUACCAGUGGCGAAGGCGGCCUUCUGGACUGACACUGACGCUGAGGUGCGAAAGCGUGGGUAGCAAACAGGAUUAGAUCCCUAGUAGUC
rnacentral:rRNA from 1 species